rnacentral:rRNA from 1 species
UACAGAGGGGGCAAGCGUUAUUCGGAAUUAUUGGGCGUAAAGGGCGCGUAGGCGGCCUGGCAAGUGGAAGGUGAAUCCCUCGGCUUAACCGAGGAACUGCCCUCCAAACUGCUUGGCUUGAGUCCGGGAGAGGUGAGUGGAAUUCCCAGUGUAGCGGUGAAAUGCGUAGAUAUUGGGAGGAACACCAGUGGCGAAGGCGGCUCACUGGACCGGAACUGACGCUGAGGCGCGAAAGCGUGGGGAGCAAACGGG